rnacentral:rRNA from 1 species
UAGAAUUGACGGGGCCGCACAAGCGGUGGAGCAUGUGGUUAAUUCGACGCAACGCGAAGAACCUUACCAGGGCUUGACAUCCCCUGACCGCGUAUGAAAGUACGUUUUCACCCUCGGGUGACAGGGAGACAGGUGGUGCAUGGUUGUCGUCAGCUCGUGUCGUGAGAUGUUGGGUUAAGUCCCGCAACGAGCGCAACCCCUACGUUUAGUUGCUAACAGGUGAAGCUGAGCACUCUAGACGAACUGCCGUUGACAAAACGGAGGAAGGUGGGAUGACGUCAAAUCAUCAUGCCCCUUAUGUUCUGGGCUACACACGUGCUACAAUGGCCGGUACAGACGGAGGCGAAGCCGCGAGGCGGAGCAAAUCCGAAAAAGCCGGUCUCAGUUCGGAUUGCAGGCUGCAAUUCGCCUGCAUGAAGUCGGAAUCGCUAGUAAUCGCAGGUCAGCAUACUGCGGUGAAUACGUUCCCGGGCCUU